rnacentral:tRNA from 2 species
UGCCCCUAUGGUGGAAUUGGUAGACGCGGUAGAUUCAAAAUCUAUUUUUUUGCUGGUUCAAAUCCAGCUAGGGGUAA